GGGGAUCUAGCUCAUCGGUAGAGCGCUUCCUUAGCAUACAAAAAGGCCCAGCUUACGUAAGCUGGAAGAGGUAGCGGGUUCGACUCCCUCGUUCUCCA